AGGCUAUGACGGGUAUCCGGCCUUAAAGGGUGAACGGACACACUGGAACUGAGACACGGUCCAGACUCCUAUGGGAGGCAGCAGUGGGGAAUUUUGGACAAUGGGGGAAACCCUGAUCCAGCGACGCCGCGUGGAGGAUGAAGGCCUUCGGGUUGUAAACUCCUUUUAGAGGGGAAGAAAUAAAUGACGUUACCCUCAGAAAAAGCCACGGCUAACUACGUGCCAGCAGCCGCGGUAAUACGUAGGUGGCGAGCGUUACUCGGAAUUACUAGGCGUAAAGCGUAUAUAGGCUGUCGUAUAAGUCUUUAGUAAAAUUUCUCGGCUCAACCGGGAAAAGCUUAAGGAUACUGUUCGAUUUGAGUGUGGGAGAGGGAAACGGAAUUCCUGGUGUAGCGGUGAAAUGCGUAAUAUCAGGAGGAACACCGAUGGCGAAAGCAGUUUCCUGGACCAAUACUGACGCUGAUGUACGAAAGCUAGGGUAGCAAACAGGAUUAAUACCCUGGUAGUCCUAGCUGUAAACUAUGUUCACUAGAUGUGGGGGGUAUCGACCCCUUC
rnacentral:rRNA from 1 species